GAAUGGAAGGUGGAAGGCGGUUGCUGCUUGCAGAAGAGGCACGCUGGCAGCAUUGGCAGGGAGGAGGAGACUGGAAACUGAGUAGCAGAUCCGAGAAACCAAAAUGCUCAGCAAAUGAGGGCAGGUGGCAUGGAGCUACUUCCCUGGGUCCAAGAGCCUAAUUACGUUAUUGUUCCAUAAGUUCAUGGCCUGCGGUCAUCAGGGAAAAUAAAACACUGACUAGGGGUCGGUCUUUUCUGUUUAGAGGAGGCUCCCUGAAACCUCCCCCUCCCGGGUUCAAGCGAUUCUCCUGCCUUAGCCUCCCGAGUAGCUGGAACUAUAGGCGCCCGCCACCACUCCCGGCUAAUUUUUUUUUGUUUUUUUGUUUUUUGUAGAGACGGGGUUUCACCGUGUUAGCCAGGAUGGUCUCGAUCUCCUGACCUCGCGAUCCGCCCGCCUCGGCCUCCCAAAGUGCUGGGAUUACAGGCGUGAGCCACCGCGCCCGGCCUCAGCUGGUUUUUCAAAAGUCAUGGCGUGUAAUUGUCAGAACAGUGAACUUCGGAGAUCCACCGGAGGGGCGAGGCCACAGCUCGACCGCGAGCACCUGAGCAUCCUGCACCGCCUGCGACGGCCGUCAGGGGGCGCGAUGCCGCCUCACAGAACCUCAAGCGGCGCCCGGGUUCCGGCACAGACGGCCUGCGGCUCCAGGGGGCGGAGCCGAGCCGUCUCCUCAGGACCUACGCAAGAGGCGCCGUCAUCCCUACAGGGACACCUGAGAGGGCCCAGCCUCCUCCUCCUCAGGACCCACUCGGGAGACGCCGCUGGCUCUCUAGGAACACCUGGGGACCGUGGCCAGGGACGACCCAGCCUCCUUCUCCUCAGCUCCUCAGGAACGACUGGGGAAGCUGUGGCUUCAUGGUCCCCGAGGCUGCCCGAGGAAAGGUGAGGAAAAAGCUUUCUGUCCCGGCUCAGUGCGGAGGAGGCCGCGCUGCCUCGCGCUCCACUUUCUCAAGUUGUAUUUAUUUUAUUUUACAAAGUGGCCCAUCAUUAAGUGGCUUUGUUAUUCAUUAUUACAGCAUACCUGAGUUGUUUCAUUUUUUAAUUUUUGACCAAUUUGGGUUUGUUUGGGGUGGAUCCGGGACAGAGAAGGGAGAAACCCUGAGGGCAACAUGGAGAGCCCCAGGGAGACGCGCACCCCACGACUUGCUUUUAUUUGCGUUCCAGUGGCUCGUUUUUCUUAGAGUGUUAAAGUACUUGAAAAAUAUUGAAGAGCAGAUGUAGAUGUGAGUUUUCACAACCGUGUUUUAAGUGUAAAUACUGGACUUUGUCUGUUAAAAGGAUUUUAGGUAAAAUAAAUUUAAGCGGAGUUUAUUUCGGCAAAGGAAUGGUUCAUGAAUCACGCAGGAAGCACCAGAACGGAUGGGGCUUCGAGCUCUUAGGGUGGCCCCUAAGUGAGGCUCCUCAGUGGCUCCAGCUAGGCCACCGCCUGUUGUGGGGAUGGUUCCCUCAGCGUCCCUAGUCAUACAGCCAACUGGCUGCUGGGCUUUUUGGCAUUGACUGUGGUUGGUUUGUUAAUUUUUUUAAGUCAGUUCAAAUGCCUCCAAGUUCGGUUUCUGUUUGCUUAGGGAAGGCCUCAGGCUAACCCCCGCCGUAUUUGCUUUAACAUGUCAAAACCAUAAUUUAUUUUUCAUUUUACUUUCCUGGCAUUAAUAGAAGUAAAUUCACAUUUGUGUGUUAUUCAGAAAGUCGGUUUAAUUGGCAACCUAUUUGUGAUGGUGCAUAAAGUAAUGUCUUUUAAUCAUUGGCAUCUUAGAUUAGAUGAAAUAUGUUAACUCUCUUAAGCUUCGUUAUUAACCCAUAACAAGAGUUAAGUUUCUUUUUUUCUCCUAGGCUUUGACCAUUUAAAAUACACUCAGGCAUCUCGUAACGAUGUUAUACUUUCUGAGAAAUCUGUCCUUAGGUGAUUUCAUCUUUGUGUGAACACUGUAGAGUGUCCUUAUAAAACUUAGAUGGUGUAGCCCACUCCACACCUAAGUUACAUAGUAUAGCCUAUUGCUCCCAGGCUACGAACCUGUACAGCAUGUCUCUGUACUGAAUGCUGUAGUCAACCAUAACACCAUGGUGAUUGUAGAUUGUGAUCCCAGAAUAUCUGAGACAGGUCUCAGUCAAUUUAGAAAGCUUAUUUUGCCAAGAUUAAGGACACGCCCAUGACACAGCCUCAGGAGGUCCUGACGACGUGUGUCCAAGGUGGCCAGGGUAGAGCUUGCUUUUGUACAUUUUAGGGAUACAUGAGACGUGUAAGAUGUACAGUCAUUUGGCCCAGUAAGGCGGGACAACUGGAAGCAGGAAGUGGGGGUGCUUCCAGGUCAGAAGUAGGUUAGAGACAAAAGGUUGCAUUCUUUUGAAUCCUUCAUCAGCCUUCCACUGAAUACACAAUUUAGUCUGGCUCAAUGAAUCUGCAUUUUUACAUAAAUAAUAGGGCAGAGGAAGCAAUCAGAUAUGCAUCUGUCUCAGGUGAGGGAUGACUUUGAGUGCUGUCUGUCCUUUGUCCAAAAGGAAAUUCUUUGUGGGCAAAUUGUGAGUGAGGUAUGUAGCUUUUUAUCUUUGUAGCUAUCUUAGGAAUAGAAUGAGGGCAGGUUUGCCUGACAUAGCUCCCAGCUUGACUUUUCCCUUGGCUUAGUGAUUUGGGGGUCCUGAGAUUUAUUUUCCUUUCAUGGUAUCAGAACAGAGAAAAGGUAAUGCGUUGAGCCAUGAGC
rnacentral:lncRNA from 1 species